GGGGUUAUAGCUCAGUGGUAGAGUGUGUGCUUAGCAUGCAGGAGGUCCUGGGUUCAGUCCCCAGUACCUCCA
rnacentral:tRNA from 1 species